GACGAACGCUGGCGGCGUGCCUAAUACAUGCAAGUAGAACGCUGAAGGAGGAGCUUGCUUCUCUGGAUGAGUUGCGAACGGGUGAGUAACGCGUAGGUAACCUGCCUGGUAGCGGGGGAUAACUAUUGGAAACGAUAGCUAAUACCGCAUAAGAGUAGAUGUCGCAUGACAUUUGCUUAAAAGGUGCAAUUGCAUCACUACCAGAUGGACCUGCGUUGUAUUAGCUAGUUGGUGAGGUAACGGCUCACCAAGGCAACGAUACAUAGCCGACCUGAGAGGGUGAUCGGCCACACUGGGACUGAGAUACGGCCCAGACUCCUACGGGAGGCAGCAGUAGGGAAUCUUCGGCAAUGGACGGAAGUCUGACCGAGCAACGCCGCGUGAGUGAAGAAGGUUUUCGGAUCGUAAAGCUCUGUUGUAAGAGAAGAACGAGUGUGAGAGUGGAAAGUUCACACUGUGACGGUAUCUUACCAGAAAGGGACGGCUAACUACGUG
rnacentral:rRNA from 1 species